rnacentral:rRNA from 1 species
CAGCAGCCGCGGUAAUACGUAGGUCCCGAGCGUUGUCCGGAUUUAUUGGGCGUAAAGCGAGCGCAGGCGGUUAGAUAAGUCUGAAGUUAAAGGCUGUGGCUUAACCAUAGUACGCUUUGGAAACUGUUUAACUUGAGUGCAGAAGGGGAGAGUGGAAUUCCAUGUGUAGCGGUGAAAUGCGUAGAUAUAUGGAGGAACACCGGUGGCGAAAGCGGCUCUCUGGUCUGUAACUGACGCUGAGGCUCGAAAGCGUGGGGAGCAAACAGGAUUAGAUACCCCAGUAGUCCCUGUCUCUUAUACA